GUCACCAGGGCCACAGCUGGAGAGAUAAAUACAUAACAAGAGAUAAUCAACAGGAGUGCAAGCUUGAAUCAGCAUGAAACAUGCAGUGUGUGCAGUUUCCAUGGGGCCCAUGGCCAGAAGUUAGAGAAAUCUGGCAGGAACACUCAGAAGUGUUCUUGGGAGAUACAGUGGGGAUGCCAUGGCUCUUCCUGAAAUCCUGAGAGCUUAUUCCUGCCCUUGAACUUCUAUUGGUUUUAUAGGAAAGGCUCUUGGAACCCCAGCACCUGAGCACAAUCCCAUUCUAAGAUUUCCUGAGUGGUAUCAUUUAAAUUUACAGAUGGAGUCUCACUCUGUUGCCCAGGCUGGAGUGCAGUGGCAUGAUCUCGGCUCACUGCAGCCUCCACCUCCCAGAGACUGAUAAAUGUCACCUGUUAUCACCCGUCUCUCCUUCCAAAGAAAGAGAACUCCCAACUUUUAACCUGGCACAUGAUUACCCAAAAUGAAGACUCCAUAUAUCAGCCAUGGCCAAGUUUCUGACCAAUGAGAUAAAUAAAACAGACACGACUGGAUGUGAAACAGUCAUUUGGACCAUGAAGUGACCUUGGAAAAGGAAGCCAGGACUGGUGUCCAUAUAAGAAGAUAGCCCUGUGAAGACACAGACUCAGAGAGAAUUCUAAUAUGGAGAUGGAAACAAAAUCUGUAGUCAUGCUGCUCCAAGCUAAGGAAUACCUGGGGCUACCAGAAGCUCGAAGAAGCAGGAGAAGUUCCUCCCUAGAGGCUUCAGAGAACAUGACAUCUGACACAUUGAUUUCAGUUGGCUGACCUUCAAAGCGAUGAGAUAAUGUUGCUGUGUUUAUGUUGGAAAGGAAAGAUUCUGCCAAUACCAGAGAGGCUAGACUGAACAACCAACAGGAAACGUAUUAUAACAAGGUAGAUAAAGUAUGGAAGCAUUUGCACAAAAGUGAAGACUAGAAUGGCAAAGAAGAGAUGGAUUCAAGAAGCCCUAUGAAGCCCCCUUUUUACUGUGCCCUUUGCAGAAUGUGUGGAGCCUCCUUUAUCAGGCCAAGAGAGAAGAAGCUUCUGCAUAAACAGAAGUGAUUGGAUUCUACCCUAAAAACGAAAAACCCAUUGAACAAUUAAGGAAGAAAUAUAAGGGGGAAUUUUUUUCCCUUGUGUUAAUGUCAAUAUUAACAUACCGCUAUAGGUUGAAAUACUUUUUUUUUUUUUUGAGACAAAGUUUCACUCUUGUUGCCCAGGCUGGAGUGCAAUGGCACAAUCUUCACUCACUACAACCUCUGCCCCCUGGGUUCAACCAAUUCUCCUGCCUCAGCCUCCCAGGUAGCUGGCAUUAUAGGCACCCACCACCAUGCCUAGCUAAUUUUUGGUAUUUUUAGUAGAGAUGGGGUUUCACCAUGUUGCCCAGGCUGGUCUCGAACUCCAGACCUCAGGUGAUCCACCUGCCUUGGCCUCCCAAAGUACUGGGAUUACAGGCAUGAGCCACUGAGCCCAGCCAAUAUACUUUUAAAACCCUAUUAAUUUGUAAAUUUUUAAGUGUGUACCAUUGAGAAAGAAAAGAAAAAGAAAUCUUUAGCAAGUUGGCAAAAUAGGCAGAAAGAAUAAGCAAUAGAAUAUAGGGACACAAUUCACUAUUUGAAUUUUAAUACUCUUAUGCUUUCAUAUGUGUUUAUAUAUGCAUAUAAUGCCUGUUGACUGAUUUUUUCUUCUUUUUUUAUAUACCUUGGUCACUG
rnacentral:lncRNA from 1 species